GAGUUUGAUCCUGGCUCAGGAUGAACGCUGGCGGCGUGCCUAAUACAUGCAAGUCGAGCGGUAAGGCUCUGCACAGGUUAUUUGACCAUAUUACUUAUGUAAUUAAGCUGCUCUUGGCUAAGACAGUGAGCUAUCGAAUAAUGUGUGUAGAGUACACGAACGGCGGACGGCUGAGUAACGCGUAGGAACAUACCCCAAAGUGAGGGAUAACUGCCCGAAAGGGUAGCUAAUACCGCAUGUGGUCUUCGGAUUAAAGCUUUAUGCGCUUUGGGAAUGGCUUGCGUCUGAUUAGUUUGUUGGUGAGGUAAUGGCUCACCAAGACUACGAUCGGUAGCUGGUCUGAGAGGAUGAUCAGCCAGACUGGAACUGAGACACGGUCCAGACUCCUACGGGAGGCAGCAGUAGGGAAUUUUCCACAAUGGGCGAAAGCCUGAUGGAGCAACGCCGCGUGCAGGAUGAAGGCCCUUGGGUUGUAAACUGCUUUUAUGUGCGAAGAUUAUGACAGUAACACAUGAAUAAGGGUCGGCUAACUACGUGCCAGCAGCCGCGGUCAUACGUAGGACCCAAGCGUUAUCCGGAAUUACUGGGCGUAAAGAGUUGCGUAGGUGGCAUAGUAAGUAAGAAGUGAAAGCGUUCGGCUCAACCGAAUAUACAUUUCUUAAACUGCUAAGCUAGAGAACGAGAGAGGUAGAUGGAAUUCCCAGUGUAGGAGUGAAAUCGUAGAUAUGGGAGGACACCGAUGGCGUAGGCAGUCUACUGGCUCGUUCUGACACUAAGGCACGAAAGCGUGGGGAGCAAACAGGAUUAGAUACCCUGGUAGUCCACGCCGUAAACUAUGGAUGCUAGCUGUUAUUCGUAUCGACCCGAGUAGUAGCGAAGCUAACGCGUUAAGCAUCCCGCCUGUGGAGUACGGUCGCAAGACUAAAACAUAAAGGAAUUGACGGGGACCCGCACAAGCGGUGGAGCGUGUUGUUUAAUUCGAUGGUAAGCGAAGAACCUUACCCAGACUUGACAUCCUUGGAAGCACUGCGAAAGCAGAGUGUGCCUCCGGGAACCAAGUGACAGGUGUUGCAUGGCCGUCGUCAGCUCGUGUCGUGAGAUGUUUGGUUAAGUCCCGCAACGAGCGCAACCC
rnacentral:rRNA from 1 species